rnacentral:rRNA from 1 species
UACGGGGGGGGUAAGCGUUGUUCGGAAUUACUGGGCGUAAAGGGCUCGUAGGCGGCCAACUAAGUCAGACGUGAAAUCCCUCGGCUUAACCGGGGAACUGCGUCUGAUACUGGAUGGCUUGAGAUUGGGAGAGGGAUGCGGAAUUCCAGGUGUAGCGGUGAAAUUCGUAGAUAUUCGCAAGAACACCAGUGGCGAAGGCGGCUUACUGGUCCGGUUCUGACGCUGAGGCGCGAAAGCGUGGGGAGCAAACAGG